UACAGAGGUCCCAAGCGUUGUUCGGAUUCACUGGGCGUAAAGGGUGCGUAGGCGGCCGGGUAAGUCUGUUGUGAAAUCUCCAGGCUUAACUUGGAAACUGCAGUGGAUACUAUCCGGCUAGAGGAAUGGAGGGGAGACUGGAAUACUUGGUGUAGCAGUGAAAUGCGUAGAUAUCAAGUGGAACACCAGUGGCGAAGGCGAGUCUCUGGACAUUUCCUGACGCUGAGGCACGAAAGCCAGGGGAGCAAACGGG
rnacentral:rRNA from 1 species